rnacentral:rRNA from 1 species
UACGGAGGGGGCGAGCGUUAUUCGGAAUUAUUGGGCGUAAAGGGCGCGUAGGCGGCUGUACGAGUCAAAGGUGAAAUCCCUCGGCUCAACUGAGGAACUGCCUUUGAAACUGUACGGCUUGAGGCCGGGAGGGGGUAGCGGAAUUCCCAGUGUAGCGGUGAAAUGCGUAGAUACUGGGAGGAACACCAGUGGCGAAGGCGGCUACCUGGACCGGUUCUGACGCUGAGGCGCGAAAGCGUGGGUAGCAAACAGG